GGUUAGUUACCUCAGUAGGUUAGAGCACGUCACUGAUAAUGACGCCGUCGGUAGUUCGAGUCUAUCACCAACCA
rnacentral:tRNA from 1 species